CACGUAGGGGGGCGAGCGUUGUCCGGAAUCAUUGGGCGUAAAGAGCUCGUAGGCGGCUCAGUAAGUCGGGUGUGAAACCCCCAGGCUCAACCUGGGGACGCCACCCGAUACUGCUGUGGCUAGAGUCCAGUAGGGGAGUGUGGAAUUCCCGGUGUAGCGGUGAAAUGCGCAGAUAUCGGGAGGAACACCAGCGGCGAAGGCGGCACUCUGGGCUGGAACUGACGCUGAGGAGCGAAAGCGUGGGUAGCAAACAGG
rnacentral:rRNA from 1 species